CCACUCAGCAUUAAUUCCUUUGAGAUUCAUCUGUGUUAUUGCAUGUAUCAAUAGUUCUUUUCUCUUUAUUGCUAAGCAUAAUUCCAUUGUAUGGAUAGACCACCGUUUGCCUAAGCAUUCACUCAAUAAAGACAUCUCAGUUUUUUCCAGUUUUUUAUGAAUAACACUUCUAUGAACUUUCAUGUAUAUGUUUUUGUGUAAAAAAAAUGCUUUUUUUUUUUUUCAUUUAUCUGGGACAAAUGCUCAAGAGUACAAUUGCUGGGUUGUUAGUACAUGUUUAAUUUUCUAAGAAACUGCCAAACAGUUUUCCAGAAUGGCCAUACCUUUUCACAGUCCCACCAGCUUUUGGUCAUGCCUCUCUCCUAAGCUCCGGAACGUUGCUUCCAACUGCCUCUUGGAUAAAUGCGCCUGGAUGUCUCACAUCCGGGAACUCAGAGUGUUAAAACUUGAGCUCAUUAUUUUCCCCUAGACACCAAUUAUUCCUUUUUUAUUUUCCGUCUUUAUUAACGAAAGUGUUUACUGCCUAAGCCAGACACUGAGAGCCACCAUGUAUUCCUCUCUCUCUCUCACCUAUUCCCAUGUUUAAUCCAUUAUUUGGAUUGGUCCAUUUUAUCUCCAUUUUCUCAAAUACAGGAAAAGACAGAUCAUCAUCAACCAGCAAUUGUGACUAUCUACAUAUUCACAUAAGGAUUUCCCAACUUGGGGUAUUUUUGUCAAGUUGAGACCAGGCAUCUUGGAGUUAGUUCCAUCAGGUUACUGUGACUGUCAUCGAUAGCCUCCAAGGGAAAACAACUCACAAGAGUCAGCCUGGGACAUAUGAGAAAGAGAUGCCGGUCUCCUACCUCUUGUUUCCUCACUUGAAGUGCAACCCAUUUCCAACCAUCUUUUCUUUCCAACUACUCAGGGUCCUGCUUUGAUUUUUCUAUGCACACAGCUGACAUAUGCUGGGCCUAAGAAAGGGAGGCUGCAGGACUGGACAUGCUGGUUUGCUAGGGAACCAGUGAAUCCUCUGUGAAGCUUGUCCAGUGAAGACCCAAAUAUUUACAAAUUAUCAGGAAAGAACUCAUUCUCUUUCUCUCUGUAUAUUCUGUCUGUAUUGGCUUUCCAUUGCUUCAGUAAUAAACUACCGCAAAUUUAGCAGCAUACAAUAAAACUUUAUUAUCUUAUA
rnacentral:lncRNA from 1 species